rnacentral:rRNA from 1 species
GAUGAACGCUGGCGGCGUGCUUAACACAUGUAAGUCGAACGGACAGGCCCUGCUUUUGUGGGGUGCUCGAGUGGCGAACGGGUGAGUAACACGUGAGUAACCCGCACUUGUCUUUCGGGUAACUUCAGGAGACUGCGGCUCAUACCGGAUAGGAUCUUCUGCUCCGUGUGGGUCGUAGGAAAAUUUCGGCGGUGGGGGCUGGACUGGCGGGUUAUGAGCUUCAUUGGCGGGUAGGUGCUUACCAAGGCUUUGACGGAUAGCCGGCCUGGGAGGGGGGCCGGCCACAUGGGGACUGAGAGACGGCGCAGUCUGCUACGGGACGCAGUAGUGGGGAAUAUUGCAGAGUGGCCGGAAGUCUGAGGCGGCAACGUCGCGUGCGUGAUGACGGCUUUCGGGUGGUAAACAGCUGUCGCCGGUGACGAAGCGUGAGUGACGGUAAUGGGUAAAGAAGCAACGGCUAACUACGUG